UAAUGUACAAACCAAAUGAAAUACAUUCAAUUUCUCACAAAUUUUGGUAUAGAACAUGAAAAUAUUUUAGAAUUCCUAUUUCUUAUUUUGAUUUUAUAAAUAAAAGUAAAUUUAUAAUAGAACAAAUGAAGAGGCAGCUUGCUUGAACAUAAAUCUCGACAAAUAAACUAUUCGAAGUCGGACAUGUUGUUUAAAAUAAAUUAUUAGAUACGAUACCUCCUUGAGACUAAGGUAACUAUACUAAUGAUCUAACAUUCAAACACACAUUAAGGCGAGUGCACAUCGUCCCAAAUAUAAA